CAGCGCAUGCGCACAAGGAACAUAAACAAUCCGGGAUCUGAUACCUGUGACGCUGCUGCAGGUGUUUCAUACGCGCUGUAGUCAUUUUAAUAGCUGUCGGGGAUCAAUAACGCAUUAUAAUAACUGUCUAAUAACAAAGUUAAAGCUAAACAACAGAGAACCGUCCCUGUUUUGCGCCUUGUGUCUUGUUUUCUCCGGCUGCUAGCUCGCUCCGUGCAGCAGGAGCACCAUGUUCACCUCCCAGACCUCCUCCUCCUCCUUCCAGGACUCCAUAGACGUGGAGGAGAGAGAUGACUUUGACAGUGAGGAGAUCUCUGGAUACAGCAACAAGGUCCAGCUCAACAGCUACUACACCAUCUACCUGUAUCAGGGCACAAGAUCUGAGGCUUCUGGGGAAAAUGUGUCUUGGAACCAGCGACGAGCCGACUCCACAACCAGUCAGGAAGACUUUAGCCUGACGCUGGUCGACAGCAGCCUGCCGUCGGAGGCUGAACCUGAGCUGAGGACCUACAUCUCCAGGAGGCUGAGCAAAGGGGCCCUGCUGGGGGGCAUGGGCAACAUCGCCACCGUGGAGCUCAGUAUCCCGGAGCAGGCGGUGGGCUGCUACUGCUGCCUCCUGGAGCAGGAACGCUCUCCGGACCAGCCUGAAGCCGAUGGCAACGGAUACGUCAUCUGCUUCAUGGGCGGCUCUGAGAAAGGACUCAACCUAUUUAGAUUAGAGCUGGAUAAAUAUGUCCAAGGCCUGCAUAGCAGUCUGCAAACCCCAGAGCUGCAGAACCUGGAGACGGAGGUGCGUCCGUACCUGAGCCGCUGGUUCGAGGAGUCAGUGAUGCACAUCUACCGCGUGGUGCAGCUGGUGCAGAGCAACAUCAGCUACCUGCUGCAUGCUGCUCUGAGUCACACUCAUGUGGAGGUCAGUAACUCAGAUGAGAAGACGAAGGCCGACGUGUCCAGGUUCAUCAAAGCAGCCAGUUUACAGGGUUUGUCCCAGCAAGAGAGCACCACAGCGUCUCUGUGUAAGGCGAUCUCAGAGGACACCCAGUCUGACCUGCUCAUAGACUGCUCCACCAGCCCGCCCACGCUCUCCAACACCGUGGGAAACCGUUUCUGUGACGACUGGAUCCAGGCUUUCCUGAACGCUGCAGAUCGUUGUAACCCUUUCCUGCUCAGACAGAUUCUGGAGAACUUCAAACUAAAGGCGAUCCAGGACAUGAACAGCCUGAAGCGAUUCGUGCGCCAGGCGGAGAUGAGUCACUACGCCUUGUUCCGCUGCUGCCAGUUCCUGCAGGGUUGCGGCAACGGGGACGUGUUGCUGCAGAACGCCAGGGCGGAGCACAGCGACCUGCCCGAGGCCUGCAGCAUCAUCACCGUCCUGGAGGAGUUCCUCAGGGAGCAGUCCCAGGCCCAGGCCUGAUCCAACAACUACCGCCGGUAUGAGAGUUGGUUCGCUCUUCCAGCCACGAAGCAGAAAACAUGUAAUAUUCUGAAUUUAGCACUACAUCCAUGUGUUAAAUAUCUGUUUGCAUUUUGAAUCUGCCGGCUGUUCUGGCAAAUUCAGAAUUUAAAUCAAAGUUUAAAAAAACUGAUCUGGAAUAUGUACAGGUGCAUCUCAAUGAAUUAGAAUAUGAUAGAGAAGUUUGUUUAUGUCAGUUAUUCAGUUCAAAAAGGUGAAAGAAGACAUUAUAUAGAUCCAUUACACACAGAAUGAAACAUUUCAUGUCUUAAUUUAUUUAACCCUUUAUCAGGCGAAGAACUAUAUUUGGUAACUUCAGUGGAUAUCAAAAUGGGGUCGAGAAAAAAGUUGCAAAUUUACUAGAUUAAAGUGGCAAAUCUACAAGAAAAAAAGUCGCAGAUUUACGAGAUUUAAAGUGGGUAAUCUGCGCGAAAAAGUCGCAGAUUUACGAGAUUUAAAGUGGUGAAUCUGUGCUAAAAAAGUCACAGAUUUAAGAGAUUUAAAGUGGCAAAUCUGCGCGAAAAAGUCGCAGAUUUACGAGAUUUAAAAUGGCAAAUCUACAAGAAAAAAAGGCACAGAUUUAAGAGGUUUAAAGUGGCAAAUCUACGCAAAAAAGUCGCAGAUUUACAAGAUUUAAAGUGGUGAAUCUGCGCUAAAAAAGUCGCAGAUUUACGAGAUUUAAAAUGGCAAAUCUACAAGAAAAAAAGUCGCAGAUUUAAGAGAUUUAAAGUGGCAAAAUUGUGCGAAAAAAGUCGCAGAUUUACGAGAUUUAAAGUUGCAAAUCUGCGCGAAAAAGUCGCAGAUUUACACGAUUUAAAAUGGCAAAUCUACGCAAAAAAGUCGCAGAUUUACAAGAUUUAAAGUGGUGAAUCUACGCGAAAAAAGUUGCAGAUUUAAGAGAUUUAAAAUGGCAAAUCUACAAGAAAAAAAGUCGCAGAUUUAAGAGAUUUAAAGUGGCAAAUCUGCGAGAAAAUAGGUUGCUUUUUUUCCCCACUUCUUUCUCUUAAAUCUGACUUUUUUUCUUGUAGAUCUGCCACUUUAAUCUAGUAAAUUUGCAACUUGUUUCUCUAAAUGUUUUUAUUUUUUAUUUUGGAAAUCCGCUGAAGUUACCAAAUACGGUUCUUCGCCUGAUAAAGGGUUAAUUUCUUCUAAUUAUAAUUAUAAUAAUUUAUUUCUUACAUUUAAUGAAGACCUAAAAUUCAGUGUCUCAAAAAAAUAUAUAUAUAUUACAAAAGACCAAUUUUAAAAAGUCUGUUUAAUAUGUAAAUGUUUCCUCUGAAAAGUUUGUCCAUCUAUAUGACUCAAUACUUGGUUGGGGCUGUUGGACUUGAACUACUGGAAAUGGACUUUUACAUCAUAUUCUGAUUUAUUGAGAUGAUACUUUGAAACACACUGACUAAGUUUACAUGCACACUAAUAUUUCACUAUAAUUCUGAUUAUUUGGGCCAUUCAAACUGCAUUUGGAGCCGUUUUCCAAUGAAAACAUGUAAGAUGUGCCGACAUUAUUCCAGUUUUAGGUGCAUUUAUUUAACGUGUGUACAGCACAUUCAGGAAAUACAUCUCUAGUGGAGGUUCUACUGCAGUUUGCGACACAUUUAUGGUCAGCUCUGUGCAUUGCUAUGGUUUUAGUACACAAACCAACUAGCCAUCAGUUUGAAUGGCCAUGGUAGCCCCAAAAAGAAAAGCCCACAUUUCUGAUCUGCAGUAGAAACAGAAACCUUUCAUAGUUUCAUAGUACGAUUUAACCCUUUGAUGCUCAACAUAUUUUAACCUCUUCUAAUGCACAACAUGGUCUAAAAUUACCCUCAUUGAUUCCCUUCAUGUUAUUUAAUGCAGCUGUGUGUUUCUGUGCUCUAUCUUUUGAUAUCAACUUAUUUUAUGAUUGAAUAUUCCAAGUAUUCCUUAAAUAUCUUGUUUUUGAUAACAACAGAUCAUUAUUUCCAUUUUACCUCUCAUACUUUAUGAAGAAAAAAAGUUUUUGUUUUAUUACAUAGCUAACUACUUGGCUAAGUAGCUUGCUAAGCUAACUACUUAGCCAAGAAGUUAGCUAAGUAGUUAGCUUAGCAUGCUACUUAGCUAAAAAAAUGGAUAUGGGUCAUUUUUGACCCAUGUUGUGCAUUAGAAGAGUAGUGACACAAAAAGAGAUUUUAUUAAAAAAUGAAUAAAGGAAAACAUAAAAUCAGGAUGUAUGAUGAUCAAAAACAAACUAAUUGAGGAAAACCUGGAAUACUGAAUGAUUCCAAGUAUUGUUUAAAUAUCU